rnacentral:tRNA from 2 species
GGUUUGGUAGUUCAGUUGGUUAGAAUACAUGCCCGGCCUACGUUAGGUGUCACGCAUGGGGUCGCGGACUUACGCAGCCCGGUUCGAGUCCCAUCCAGACCGCCA